rnacentral:lncRNA from 1 species
UAGCGCUUUCACAGAGUGAAAAUGAAUUCAAACAAAUCCAGAAACCAAGUCAAUCAAGUCACAUGCUUGAUCUAUUAGAUGUUGCAAUAGAUUCUGUAAAUAAUGCCAAUGCUUCGAAUGUUGAUCCAUGGGGAAUGACAAAACCAACAGCAUCUCUAGGAACCUUCCAAAGUCCCAGAAUGAUUCUUGGAGCUCACCUGGCGCAGGAGCUCCUGCACAAGAUCCAUGGGCUCCUGUCUCUGCACAGUCUGUCCAAAAACCGGAUCCAUGGAGUCCAACACUUCCACAAUCAGCAAGUCGUCCGGUAGCAGCUUCUGAUCCCUGGGCUGCUCCGUCUCUUUCCUCCCUUAGUCCUACUGAUAAUGACAGUACAAUCGAUGAAUUUGCUGCAAUUAGUAAAAGAAACGUCCACAACAAUUGUAACAAUAUCAAUAACAGUAGUAAUAGUAAUAGCAACGGUAACAACAACAAUCUUAUCCAGUCAGAUCCAUUCGAUUUAAAUGGCUUGUCCGAUGACCUUCUCUCAGUCUCACCUAAUCAGCAACAGCCAGCAAGAAAAACGCCCCACAGUUUCCUCGGAGAAAAUUCAGCUUUGGUAAAUUUAGAUAAUUUAGUGUCACCGGCACCUCCACCAAUUCCUGCUUUGCCAGUUCAAAGCCGGACUGCAAGCUUAGUUAAUCCUUUUAGCACUGUCGAUAGCAUCCAGCCUGGAGUGAACAAUAGCUCGUUUCAACGUAUGGGACCCAGCCCUUUGAGUUUCAAUCAGCUGAGCACGCAACAACCACUAUCCAGUGGUUUACCGCAGCCUCUAAUUCCACAGCAGCAAGCAAACCCCUUCCUCUCUUAG